rnacentral:sRNA from 1 species
CCGGCCGGAUGAGGGACGCAGGGGCAGAGGGCUCAGGCCAGGGCCGGCGGGGGCACUGCGCACUGGCCGCCUCCCUCCUCUGGCCAAUCCUCCUGCCGCUGCGCGUCCAGUCCACCUCGUCCGUCUCUGCAGCAGGCAUGUUCCUCCGUGGAGCAUGGAGUUAUGCGAUGGCCUGCCUGUCCAUGAAGUUCCUCUGGCCUCCUCCGAUUCUGCGGCUGCAAAUCCACACCCAGGAGCUCCGCAGGCCUGCUGGAGCACAGCGCCUGGCGGUUUCUGCACCUGGAACCCACCUCAGGACCACGAGCCGCAUUCAGUCUCUUUUUAUAGAUCUGGAACUCGAAGCCCAGCGUGGUUAGGAACGUGUCUAAGGUCACGUGAUAGUAAAUACUGGAAGAGGGAUUCAAACCCACAUCUCCAGAGAGAGCUGAGAAGACUUGUGCUUCCCAUGGGUGCAGCUGUUCCCAGAGGCCUCCGGCCCUGUUUCACCUUCCCAGACUGCUUUGAGAGGCUCUGGCUGGCCUGUCUCUAGUGUGGCCAGAUUCUGUCUGCAGUGGCAAGGGAGGACCCCAGGCAACAAUACUGACAUCAGGGAAGAGAACAGAUCUGCAGGGCCAGUGAGUGGUGCUAUGGAAAGGCUGGGAGUGGCCCCUGCAUGGUUUUCACCAGACCCGUCGUCAGGGGCUCCAGGCCUCCAUGUGCUGCACGGGCUACUGGCUCCCUCUCCAAAAUCGACCCUGGGUGAGCUGUGGAGGCGAGAAGGCAGUGUGCAUUUCAGAAACUAACCAAAAUCAGUGAGAAAAUCUUGGAGAAACUGAAGUUACCCUGGGCGGCUGUAGCUGGGGAUGGAGGAUGGGGCAGCCAGGAGCCGCACUUAAGAAGGCUGUUCACACUCUGCUCUUGUUGCUUGCCUCCCACACCUCGUGACAAAUGCUGCCUGGUCCUGCUCAGGUGCCAGGAUUGCAAGGUGGCUGUGUCAGCCAGCGUGAGGGCCCCACCAGCCACCAGUGUUGUGUGCCCUCCAUCCUCCUCCUGAAACCCCCCUGGGUAGGACAGUUGCUAUCCAGGGAAAUGGGCCCCUUCCACUGUGAUCUCCUCCAGGGCUUUCACCAGAAGGCCUGCCUGCAGGAGUGGCUUGUGGGGUGGCAGAAUGCAGGAGAGAGUGAGUGAGGUGCUUCGUGCCCGGGGCCCUCUGCUCUGGGGCCACCCUCCUCGUUGACUCAUUGGGAGCCUUCCUAGUGCAGACAGGGUGACCAGGAGCUGCUAAGCCCAGGGAAUGCACACACGUGCACUGGAGCUGCUGCCUAUCUUAAGAGUCCAAUGCCCACCGAAACACAGUAGGCUGCACAGCAUCCACUACUAGAAGUAGAGUUGCUGGAAAAGACCGAUCAAACAUAUUUAAUAAGCACAAUAAAUAUCUUUUUGGAUACCGAAAAAUAGUAUUAGCAAUAAGACCCAAGACAAAGAAACUACAGAAAAGAACCAAGUCAAAAUAUUACAUAUGCAAAAUGUAAUCGUUGAAUUAAAGACCACAUUACAUUGA